rnacentral:pre_miRNA from 1 species
AACGAAUGACGCUGUUGAUUUUUUUACCAACGUUUGACCAUUCGUCUUAUUAAAAACUUUAUGUAUUUAUUAUUUAUUUUAUUAUGACUUGAUUUAUCAUAAAAUGUUAUUUAAGCGUGACAUAAAUAUUUUUGUAUUUACAUAAAAAUUUUAAAUAAGACGAAUGGUCAAACGUAGAUCAAAAAGUCAACGGUGUCAUACAUU